UACGGGGGGGGCAAGCGUUGUUCGGAAUUACUGGGCGUAAAGGGCUCGUAGGCGGCCAACUAAGUCAGACGUGAAAUCCCCAGGCUCAACCUGGGAACUGCGUCUGAUACUGGUUGGCUUGAAUCCGGGAGAGGGAUGCAGAAUUCCAGGUGUAGCAGUGAAAUGCGUAGAGAUGCGGAGGAACACCGAUGGCGAAGGCAGCCCCCUGGGCUAGCACUGACGCUCAGGCACGAAAGCGUGGGGAGCAAACAGG
rnacentral:rRNA from 1 species